rnacentral:lncRNA from 1 species
AAUUAAUCUACAUGAGGUGUCCUCUACUCACAAACAUAGCUUUUGAUUAUUUACAUAGUGACAAGGGAGAUAAUUACAAGAUGAAAUACAUGUGUUAACUGGUACAAUUUUGUUUUCUUACACAGAAGGAAUAUGCUCAGCAAACUAUGACAAAUUAGCAUUGUAGCAAUAGGGACGUUUGCAGUAAAGCUAAAAAUGAGCCGUUAACUCCAAACUAACAACCUUUAAGAUUCACCAUUGUUAAUCUCAGAAGUUGCUUGUAGUGCACAUCUGGAUGAAGCCACGUUUGGCUGGGAGGGGAAGGUGGGUUUUAGGCAUACAACUGUGGCUGUGUUGUGUCAAUAAAGGACAAUAUUGUUUGCUAUUGAUGGACUUUGAGUUCCCUCCCGCCUGUGCUUAGCACCAGCAGUGAACAGCUAGUGGCAGCUGUUGAAGUUGCUAGGUUCACUGCUCCCGUUACUGUUCUCAAGGACAAAGCACACACAGCUGAGCUGGAAGAUGGCUGUGUUAUAGCUGGACACCACCUGAAACUAAUAAAUGAAGGAGGGAAAGGGGAGAAGAUUCUAGACAUAUUACUGCCAGCUGCUCCAUUCCUGUUUUAUCUGAGUGUCGGAUGCAUGUGGGAUCGUUCCACCAAUCACGCAUGUCAGUUGAGUGAUGCAGGAGUACAUUAUGAGGUUCUCUCAGACCUGGUACCUGGACUAUAAAGGGAAGAAAAUCUUCUGUUCUGGUAAGGUAUCUUGGCACAUGUUCUUCAAAAACCCAUUCCAUCCUUCUGCAUUGCAAUCAUUUGGCAUGUAAGUAUGUUCAACGUCUGAUAUAUUCUGAGUGAGUGGCUGGAAAUGAAUAGAGAGGUGAUGAUGGCUAAAGUGGGCUUGACAUUUGUUGAAGAAUUCCAGACCCAUGGAUUUAGAGACCUGAAUCAACCUAUAAUUUGCUAAAUUAUCUGGUUGUUUGCCUUUUAAUACUGUAGUGAUUUCUCAUUGCGUAUUAGCAACUGUACAUUUUUAUGGAAAGUUACAAACUGUAUCCUUAAGGAAUAAGAAACAAUAUCUGAUAUUGAAGGCUCAAGUACUUUAGAAACAGACAAAAAUUUCCAUAGAUUUUCAUGUUUUUGGGCCAGACAAUGAGUUUUAAGGAAUGGAAUUUAUCUGACAGCUUCAUCAAGAUUAUCUGAGGUGGUGGUUAUUGUAGAUGGCAUGAUUUAUACUCAACAUUAUAUAGGCUUACUCUGUUCCUAAAAUCAUAUACUCUUCUGCUUAGUACAUGAAUAUUACAAAAAAAAAAAAAUAAGUAAACUACACUUCUAUUCAAACCUGUUGCUGUAUUCUGGUGAGGCACAGUAGUUUAGAAAGUAUUUAGAGUGUUCUUGGAAAUGAGUUUCGUCUUAUGACUUAUACAAUUUUUCUGGUACUGAUGUUCAAAAAGCAUUUCUAUAAUC